rnacentral:lncRNA from 1 species
AUGUCUUCGCUUUCAGAGUAUGCACUGUGCAUGUCUCGUCUGAGUGCCCAGAUCUUUGGUGAAGUGGCCAGGUCUACUGACUCAAAAGUCCAUGAAAGUGGUGAGUCUGUUUAGUGAGCAGCCUUUGGCCAAGAAGAAAGAGACUUAUGACUGGUAUCCAAAUCACGACAAGUAUUUUGCGCUCAUGGGCAACCUCUGUUUCCUUGGCCUUUACAAAGAUGAGGAUCAGGACUUUAAGGAUGAGCAAAGAUGUCUAAAGAAGCUCCGUGGGAAGGGGAAACUGAGAAAAGGAGAAGGGAAAAGAGCUACAAAAAAGAAA